UUUUUGGCCGUGGCGCAUGUGGGACCAUAGUUCCCAGACCAGGGAUCAAACCCGGGUCCCCUGCAGUGGAAGCAUGGAGUCUUAACCACUGGACCACCAGGGAAGUUCCAAGGCUGCAGUUUUAAAUAGAGUGGUCAGGGAGAGCCUCAGCAAGGUGACAGCAGAGCAGAGACCUAGGGAAGUGGGUCUCAGGGCAGAGCAUUCCAGGCCAGAGGGGGCAGCGUGUGCAGUGCUCGACAGUGGGGAUGUGCUUGUGUGGUCUGGGGACAGUAAGGAGGCCCAGGGGAGGCGUGGGCCAGGGGCAGAAUGGAAGGAGGUGAGGAUAAGUGUGUGGGUGGGAGGGUGGAUGGCUCAGCCUUGCCGGCCAGUGUAACGCCACUGGCUUCUACCCUGAGUGGGGUGGGAGCUGUGGAGCAGAGCGGAGACUGGGCUGACUUGCAUUUUACAGGGAGCAUGCCAGCUGCCAUCCUGUGAGAAACAUGGAAGCGAGCAAGGGUAGAAGCAGGAAUACCAAUUAGGGGAUGGCUGCAAAAAUCCAGGCAAGGGGGAUGCGGGCUCGUCCCUGGGCGGUAGCAGGAGAGACAUGGUGAGGAGUGGUCAGAUUGUGGAUUAUUUUGAAAGCAGGGCCAAUAGGAUUUGCUAACAGAUUAGCCGUAGAGCGUAAGAGGAAAAACGAGAGAGGCUCAAGGUGACCUCGAGGUUUGGGGCUGGAAGCACGGAAAGGAUGGAGUUGCCAUUUCCUGAGAUGGGGAAGAUGGCUGGGUGGGUAAGUAAGGCAUUUGGUGCCAAGCAGCUGUCUGAGGCUGGGAUGCCAUGUUCAGGCUGCAAAUAAAAUUGGAGCGUUUUCUCAGGUGAGGUCAUUAGCCGAGCCUAAGUCAGGGAUCCAGUGGGGAGUGGGUCCCAGGGCGGGACUGCAAGGCAGGCGGGGCCCGUGUGUGGGUGCCCUGCCCCAGGACCCCAUCAGUGGAGGCUCUGGACCCGCACACACUUGAGCCUCCUUGAAGCUCCAGGCUGCGGCUCUUCCCGGCUGUACGAGGACAUGCAAGGAGGCCUGACCCUGUCCACCUCUCUGUGCCCACAGAGCUUCCCUGUGGUCCUCCUCCUUGGAGCCCAGGAGAACUUUCUGUGGGUGAGGAUGUUCCCCACGGGGUUGCCUGGUGGUGGGCAGAGGUUCUCCUUCACUGUCUGAGGUUGGCCUCUUUUCACUGGGGACUGAAAGCGCCUCCACCCCCAUCCUAGCGGUGUCUCCUGGGAAAGAAACCCUGGGGACAGUAGGAUCAACACUGUCAGCACUUUGCUUUGCUUGAAGGCUGUGGAACCAAAUUACUCAGUUUUUACUUCGAAAGAAGCCAAACCAAUUAAAUAAAUAAAAAAAAAAGUGGGGCGAUUCUUCCAAACCCACCAUGAAAAAACCCCAGCUCGGAGGCUGCAUUCAGCGACCUCAGCCCAGUACCUCCCUGAGCGGGUUUUCUUGGAAGAACCUAGAAGAAUCCUGGAUUGAGACGUCGUGGGUCUUUUGAAAAAAACAAAACAAAACAAAACACAUUUGUAAGCUUUGUGGGAGUUUCCAGACCGAGACUAGGAUGCCUUGCUUGUCCUCUGACCCACCUGCACGCAGCCCCACGGGUACUGUUAGGUUUCCACCCAGGGAGGCUGCCCACCAUGGGGCAGGGGGUUCUCUCCAGCCCCAAUGCCUCUCAGGCAGCCCUGGCAGGGGCCUACACUGGGGAGGGUCUAAAGGCACCCCCUGCGCCUCUGUUAAUGUUCACACUUUACCUUAGCAGGGAAGGGCUGGGGGCAGGUUUGUGUGUACAUAAAGGUUUAAAAGCCACUAAUGGACUGAAAUGUUGCACAUACCACGCUAUUCAAUGUACUAAUAUUUUUCUGAGUUUGAGGCUUUCUAAUUACUGCCACUAACCUGUUGUGCUCACCUCUGGGAUCCAGAACCACUGUGUCCGUUGCCCACAAAUGCCGCCUUCGGAAACGUUGCUUUUAGGAGUUCUCACUAAGGGAAUGUUAAGAGCACAAAAAUUUUAUUGAACCAAACUCAGUGGCAAACAGAAAAUGAUUUGUUAGAUUGUCAGUGGGCAAGAGUUUAUAUUACGACUGCUGGUGGAAUCAACAGUGGCCCGUUUCUGCCAACAUUGAUGGAAAUAACGUUUUUAAGUUUUAAAUGUGAGAUAUAAACCU
rnacentral:lncRNA from 1 species